GCGUUCAUACCCAAGUGGUCAAGGGGCUUGACUUGAAAUCAAGUGUGCAUAGCACGCGCAGGUUCGAACCCUGCUGGGCGCG
rnacentral:tRNA from 1 species